UUAAAAUAAAAUGCCCUUUAUUAUUAGUGAAAACAAAUUGUUUAAAUUCAAUCUUGAUAAACUUAAUUGGAUAUUAUUUCGAGUUAAACACCAUUGCGUACUCUUAUAUACCCAAUUAGACAUUUAUUGACCAGUCGCUGUUGCAACUUGUAAGGCACUAGUUGAAGUGUGAACUGUUUGAAAAAAAAAAAAAAAAGUCCAAAUGUUGAAUUAAUUGAACCAAUAAAGGAUGGUUUUUUCAAGAUUCUGGUUUGAUCAAAAAUAUAUCUUACCUCUCACAUCAUGAAAUGAAGCCCUACUGUCUCACUUCCCACACCAUCAAAGUGGAUAUGUAUCAAUAUAGUUAUAUAGAUAUUCAAAUCAGACGGCAUAGGGGUAAUCAAAAGCUGAAUUGCUGACCCAAUUGCUCUCACAACCUGUAUAAAUAUCCCCAUUUGUGAAUUGUGUAGAUAAAAUUAUAACCUUAAGACUGCAUAGAUUGAUAUAUUAACAAGCAAUGGCAUUUGAUAAUAAAAGGUCUAUUCUGGUGAUGCUUAUCAUAUUUGCCGCAGUUUUAUCUCCGACAUUAACAUGUAAUGCAGCUCGAUUGACUCAACGAGAACUACUUGCCUGUUCUGUCUGUGAAUGCUGUGAACCUCCACCACACGGCUCAUGUUGCCGAUGCUGUUCUUCUCCUGUCCAGACAUCUGAAACUGGUUCUCCAUGAAGCAACAUAUAUAGCUAUCAGUUCAAGGCACUUAAUUCUACAUAAAUUCAGCAUAUAUAAAUAACAAAGUGUCUAUGGAUAUUUGCUACCGUAUUUUUCUUUUUGACAUAGUAUUUAAACAACGUGUGUUACUAUGUUGGAAUAAAGAUGGACUUUCUCCUCUCAA